rnacentral:rRNA from 1 species
CAGCAGCCGCGGUAAUACCAGCUCUCCGAGUGGUAGGGAUGUUUAUUGGGCUUAAAGCGUCCGUAGCCGGCUUAGCAAGUUUCCUGUUAAAUUCAGCGACCUAAUCGUUGAGCCGCGGGAAAUACUACUAGGCUAGGAGGCGGGAGAGGUCGACGGUACUUCUGGGGUAGGGGUGAAAUCCUAUAAUCCCGGGAGGACCACCAGUGGCGAAGGCUGUCGACUAGAACGCGCUCGACGGUGAGGGACGAAAGCUGGGGGAGCAAACCGGAUUAGAUACCCGGGUAGUCCCAGCUGUAAACGAUGCGGGCUAGGUGUUGGAAUGGCUACGUGCCAUUUCAGUGCCGCAGGGAAGCCAUUAAGCCCGCCGCCUGGGGAGUACGGCCGCAAGGCUGAAACUUAAAGGAAUUGGCGGGGGAGCACCACAAGGCGUGAAGCUUGCGGUUCAAUUGGAGUCAACGCCGGGAACCUUACCGGGGGCGACAGCAGAAUGAUAACCAGAUUGAAGGUCUUGUUUGACAAGCUGAGAGGUGGUGCAUGGCC